CGGAGUGUGGCGCAGCCUGGUAGCGCACCUGCAUGGGGUGCAGGGGGUCGGAGGUUCGAAUCCUCUCACUCCGACCA
rnacentral:tRNA from 1 species